CAUCACAUCCCAUCCCGCCCAUAGCCGACUGCAAUGGAAGUCCCUCCAUGCCGGGCACAGCCCUCACACGUCCGGAAUCACGUUGUCAGCCACGGACUUUCUGCAACUGCACCGUCGGCUCUUCAACCCCGGAAAAAUCGGUCCAAUCAGCUUAAGACCGGUCCUGGCCCUCGGACGGACAAGACACCCGGGAGGGGACGGGGAUGACCCAGCAGCAACUCAACAGACCCGGGCCAGACUCUGACCACGGACGAGCACGAUCUCGCUCACUCACGAAAGCAUAAUCUUCUAAAUAAGUAAAAGUCUCAUCUUGACCA